UGGUGGUGUUUCAAGCGGGAGCUCUGGCUGGUCUGAAAGCUCUUCCCACACUCCUCACACUCGUAGGGCCGUUUCCUAGUGUGGAUCAUCUGGUGGCGAAUCAGGU